GGCAGGACCCCGCCCCCUAAAGCAGUGAUCCCUGCCUCUUGGCUCCCUUUCCCACAGGGCCUGUGUGUCACAUGUCCUGAAGGUUCUGCCCGAGGCUCCCCCUAGAGCAGUGAGUGAUCCCUGCCUCUUUCCCCCUCUUUCCCACAAGGGGCAGCAGCGGCCCUGACCCUGUGUCACAUCUGCUCCAGAAGGUUCUGCAGAGGCUCUGGCAGGACUCCCCGCCCUUGAGUAGGGAUCUCGCCUGUUCCCUCCGCUUUCCCACAGGGGGCAGCAUGGAGGCCGACGCGGGCCGGGGGGCCAACGGCUCGUGGGGGGCGGGGCGGUGCCACGUGGCCGAGGACUACAAGCGCGUGUACCUGCCGGUGACGUACAGCCUGGUGCUGGCGCUGGGGCUGCCGCUGAACGGCGCGGUGCUGUGGCUGGCGUGGUGCCGCACGAGGCGCUGGAGCUGCAGCACCAUCUACCUGGCCAACCUGAUGGUGGCCGACCUGCUCUACCUCGCCACGCUGCCCUUCCUCAUCGUCAACUACUCGCUGGGCGACCGCUGGCCCUUCGGCGCGGCCUUGUGCCGCCUGGUGCGCUUCCUCUUCUACACGAACCUGUACGGCAGCGUGCUGCUGCUGACGUGCAUCAGCGUGCACCGCUUCCUGGGCGUCUGCUACCCGGUGCGCUCGCUGGCCCUGCGCACGCGGCGGCUGGCGCGCCGCGGCGCCGGCGCCGCCUGGGCCCUGGUGGUGGCGCAGGCGCUGCCCACGCUGGCCUUCUCCGAGACGGGCGCGCGCGCCGGCCGCACCGUCUGCUACGACCUGAGCCGCCCCGACAACUUCGGCCGCUUCUUCGCCUACGGCGCGCUGCUGACCUUCUCGGGCUUCGUGCUGCCCUUCCUCGUCAUCCUCGUCUGCUCCUGGCUGAUGGUGCGGAGCCUGCUGAGGCCCGCGGAGGCGCGCGCGGGCGCGGGCGCGCGCGCCAAGUCGGUGCGCACCCUCCUGGCCGUGUGCGGCCUCUUCGCGCUCUGCUUCGGGCCCUUCCACGUCACGCGCUCCGUGUACCUGGUGUUCCGGCUCCGCGACACCAGCUGCGCGCUGCUGACGGGCCUCAGCGCGGCCUACAAGCUGUGGCGGCCGCUGGUGGGCCUCAGCAGCUGCCUGAACCCGGUGCUCUUCUUCCUGUGCGGCGGCAGCAACAGGGUCCGGCUGCUCCGCGAGCUGUGGCCGCGCCGCCUCGCCCCAUGACCAGCCUUCGGUCAGUUUCUUAAUGGAGAAGUGAGCGAAACUUUUGGAAGAUCAGAGACGACGCUGAACCAAGGGGAAAAGCCCUAUCCAGAACCAAGGAGGGACGUGGCCCGUUAAUUCCCCGCUUUUCUAAGAGGUCCCAGUGAAAUCCCCGUCACUGAGAUGAGUCCCGCCACCCCCUCCCGCAAACACCCUCCGGGACGGGUCAGACUAAGUGGCAGCCCAGGGACAAGAGGAGGUUGGGAGAAAGAGAACAGCCGACAACGCCGGAGGUUUCCACCUUUUCGUUUAAAAGCUAAGAAUUCAAGCUAUUGGAGGAAGUAAUUUUGAACAGUCCUGAAAUUCAUGAAGAUGUCCCCAAGUGUCCUUUUCAACAGCAAAUAAAGUUUAGGUCAAACUGCCUAAAUGGAGAGAGGGAAGCAUCUCAUUGCCUCGGUGCCUGGAUUAUUCUUCCCACCAUGCCAUUCCCCAUUUCUACUAGCGAAAAACUGUCCUCUCUGGGAUGACUUCUGAUGUCACCUUCCUCUUAUAGCUAGUCUUCCCUAUUCCUGAUCAUCCCAGUCAAAAUUUACCUUUGCAACACGUCUUUUGAAUUUGUUUUGAUUCUACUAAAUGGUAAGCAACUAGAAGCCAGGUGCUAUGUCUUAGUUGCCUUUAUAAAGGUGGACACUGAAUAAAUUUUAUUGAACUAAUCUUUAAAAAAGAAAAAUGUUGUGAUAACUCUAAGACUUACGUUUUAUGGCAAGUACUGAUGGAUGCUGGCAAAGUCUGCUGGUUUGUGGUUUUUGUUUUUUUAAUUCUAAAUAUUGAGAGGAUGUGGGGAAAUUGGGACACUGACACACUGUCGGUGGAGCCGUGAACUGGCCCUAUCAUUCCAAAGAGCAAUGUGGAGCUCCACCGAAAGGGCUUUCAACCCUUUGACUGUGCACACCCUUGAUCCAGAAACAUGUCUUCUCUCCAAAGAAAUCAAAGAAAAGGAAUAGGACCUAUGGGGACAAACACAAUUACAGCAGCUCUUUUCACAGUGGCAAAGAACUGGGAAUUAAGGGGUGCCUAUCAGUUGGGGAAUAGUUAAAAUAAGCUAUUAAUGGAAUACUAUUGUGCAAGAAGAAAUGAUCAGCAAGUUGGUAUUUAAAAAAAACUGUCUAAUGAUUCACAUGAAUUGAUGAGAACCGAGAGAAUAUUGUAGACAGUAACAGCAAUAUUAUACAAAAAUCUAUAACUGACUUAGCUCUUCUCGGCGAUACAAUGAUCCAAGACAACUCUAAAGAACUCAUAAUGAAACUUGGCAUCCACCUCCAGAACAAGAACUGGUCUUGUCUGAAUAGACUAAAGCACAUUAUUUCUCUUUUUUUUGCCCUUCUCCUUUCCUUCUUUCUUUGGGUUUUCCUGCACAAAAUGACUAAUAUGGAAAUACUCUACACGAUUGCAUACAUAUAACCUAUAUCAGCUUGCUUACUAUCUUGGGGAAGGGGUAAGGAGGAAGGGAUAGCAUUUGGAACCCUUUUAUAAAAAGCCCAAAUGGUAAAAACUUUUUACAUGUAAAUGGGGAAAAAAUAAAAUAUUUUUUAAAAAUUCUUUUAAAAAGUGAAACAAAAUUCUUGCUUAUUCAGACAAACUUCCCUGCACAAGAAAAAAAAAAAUCACAGGAUGGGGAAGAAGAGGGAUUUCUGGUUCCAUUUUUCACAAAGAUGGGGGAGACAGAAUGAGUUGGGUUCAGGGGCCAAGCUCACUAUGGUCAGCCUGGUGGUGCAAGAGCCCAAUAAAGGUCAGAGAUUUUGGGUGCAUUGGGAGGGGCAGAGCUCCCAGGAGUAGGAAGAAGACUGGCCCAUUACCCUCUGUAGAUUUCAUCUCCAGUACUGGGCACCACAGGACAGAAGGGCAUGGGCAUCUGGACAAUGGCCAGGUCAAAGGUAACAAACAAAGGGUUGCAAAUCCCAUGACAUCAGUUUGGCCAGGCUUCAGUAAUACUCAGGAUGAUCUCAGAGGAGGGACUAGGUUUGUCCUUGGGGCCCCAGAGGAGAGGACCAGGAGAAAGAGGCAAGUUUAGCCUCUUAUGUUAAAAGAUAAAUAAAAAAGAUCCAAAGUCAGAACUGUCCCAGAGCAGAACAAGCUCUGAACUUUGGCUUCAGAGAGGCUAGGCAACCAUUUGUGAGGCAUGUUAAAGUCCCUUUUAAAGGUUUAGGAUUGGACUAGAUGGACACUACGCUGCUUCCAACUCUCAUAUUCUCUGACUGAGGAUGAUUAUUUAAAUUGUAACUGGAUUUUAUUAUAAAGCAAGAUUAUUGCAAAUUAAGACAACUCUGAGGUACCACUAUACACCUCUCAG